CUGCUUUUGUGGGGUGCUCGAGUGGCGAACGGGUGAGUAACACGUGAGUAACCUGCCCUUGACUUUGGGAUAACUUCAGGAAACUGGGGCUAAUACCGGAUAGGAGCUCCUGCUGCAUGGUGGGGGUUGGAAAGUUUCGGCGGUUGGGGAUGGACUCGCGGCUUAUCAGCUUGUUGGUGGGGUAGUGGCUUACCAAGGCUUUGACGGGUAGCCGGCCUGAGAGGGUGACCGGCCACAUUGGGACUGAGAUACGGCCCAGACUCCUACGGGAGGCAGCAGUGGGGAAUAUUGCACAAUGGGCGGAAGCCUGAUGCAGCAACGCCGCGUGCGGGAUGACGGCCUUCGGGUUGUAAACCGCUUUCGCCUGUGACGAAGCGUGAGUGACGGUAAUGGGUAAAGAAGCACCGGCUAACUACGUGCCAGCAGCCGCGGUGAUACGUAGGGUGCGAGCGUUGUCCGGAUUUAUUGGGCGUAAAGGGCUCGUAGGUGGUUGAUCGCGUCGGAAGUGUAAUCUUGGGGCUUAACCCUGAGCGUGCUUUCGAUACGGGUUGACUUGAGGAAGGUAGGGGAGAAUGGAAUUCCUGGUGGAGCGGUGGAAUGCGCAGAUAUCAGGAGGAACACCAGUGGCGAAGGCGGUUCUCUGGGCCUUUCCUGACGCUGAGGAGCGAAAGCGUGGGGAGCGAACAGGCUUAGAUACCCUGGUAGUCCACGCUGUAAACGGUGGGUACUAGGUGUGGGGUCCAUUCCACGGGUUCCGCGCCGUAGCUAACGCUUUAAGUACCCCG
rnacentral:rRNA from 1 species